UUUUUUUUUUUUACUGGAGAUACUGCAAAGUUUGAUUCUUUAUUGGAGAGGACACGGAAACUACAUAUCCUGCAAGGUGAAACAGUUGGGUGAUUGGUGUGGCCUUGUUAAUUGCCAUAUUGCACUACUAAGGGCAAAGUGCCCAAACUUUGGCCGGAUUUAUAUUCAAGGUGAGGCUUUUUUCGGUUCAUAUUAUGUGGGCAAGGCGAGAUUUUGGCUAUGUAACAUCGGUAUCUUCAUAAUCGUUUUUGUAAAAUUUUCCUUGACACCUUCAAGAUCUAGUGAGGUUCGAAUAUAACUAUUGUGAGGAAAUCAGAAUGUGUGACCUAUGGUUAUAGAUAAACCUCGACUUUCUCCAGAUAUGCUUGGAACGUAGUUAGGGAAGCAAGAGAUCAUUUUAUGUAAAUGUUACUGGGAAUAAAUCAUACCAUAAUUGCAUUAGUCA